rnacentral:lncRNA from 10 species
AGGGUGCCAGCCCUGCGUGCGAUGGUGCAGGGUCUGCUUACAGAACAAGGCACAGCAAGGAGGCAAGACACAAGCAAGAAAUGUGCUUGAUGUUACCCACUGCAGUCCUUCUUCCACUCUGGAGGAUUCUGAAGACUCAGAAGAGGGACAGGCAAUGGAUUCAGUCUAAACCCCAGGACCAGGACACUGCCUCAGCUUCGAAGCCUGGAUGCAAUGCUCCAGGGUAUAACCACUGCCCAGAAGCACAGCUAGUACAAGCUGCAGCCUCAAUCCAGGCAAGGAGCCAACUCCAACAGGUCAGGCUCCAAGGGAUGAAGACUGAAAACAUGAAUGUGUUGUGCCACUAACUCUAGCGUUUGCUUUUCCUUGUGUUUUUGCAUGCAUUGUAGACCUUGGCAUCAGCAUUUGGCUAGCUUUAAGACAGAAACUGAGAAGCCUUUUGUGUUUUAUGCGUCAACUUGACUGGGUCACAGCAUGCCCAAAUAUUUGGUUAAACACGAUUUCUAGGUGCAUCUGUGAGGAUUUUCUGGACGAGACUAAUAUUUGAAUUUGAAUCAGUGGACUAAGUAAGGCAGACUGCCCUCCCCAGUGUGGGUGGCCCUCAUCCUUCUCUCUGCCUGACACUCUUCUAGCUGGAACAUUUGUCUUCUCCUACCCUCGGACUCAGACUAUGACUGGAAUUGAUAUCAUUGACUCUCCUAGUUCUUCAGACUCAGAUUGCUCUCCCGGGACUUCUCAGCUUCCAAAUCACAUGAACCAAUUCAUUAUAGGAAAUUUUUUUAUAUAUCCUAUUAAUUCUGUUUCUCUGGAGAACCCUGAUUAAUACAGAUUUAUUUUCCUACACUCCAGUAACUCUCCACUACUCCCUCCCUCAACCCCUGGUAACUAUCCUACUUUCUGUCUCUAUAAAUUUGACUAUUCUCAGUACCUCAUAUAAGAGGAAUCAUGCAGUAUUUGUCCUUUUGUGACUGGCUUAUUUCAUUAGCAUAAUGUUUUCAAGGUUUAUUCAUGUUGUAGCAUGUAUCCAAAUUUAAUUCCUUUUUGAGGCUGAAUGAUACUCCAUUGUAUGUAUAUACCAUAUUUUGUUCAUUCAUCCAUUGAUAAACAUGUUGUUCCCACAUCUUGGCUAUUAGGAAUAAUGUUGCUGUGAA